rnacentral:misc_RNA from 1 species
CUGAAUAAACUUGGUGGGUUGUAGCUGGCUCCUUGGAGCAUGUGCACACCUAUCAUCUUUAUACAUCCACCUGUGCACAAUCUGUAGUCUUGGGGGAAAUGAGAAUCUCUCUCGAGUCUAUGUGUCUUCAUAAACUCCAUAGCAUGUUACAGAAUGUAUUUAAUGGGUCUCUGUACCUAUAAAACACUAUAUA